rnacentral:rRNA from 1 species
AGACGAAGGUGGCAACCGUUGUUCGGAAUCGCUGGGCAUAAAGAGCACGUAGGCGGGAAAGUAAGUCGGGUGUGAAAUCCCUCGGCCCAACCGAGGAACUGCGCCCGAAACUACUUACCUUGAGGGCAGGAGGGGAGCGUGGAAUUCCUGGUGGAGCGGUGAAAUGCGUUGAUAUCAGGAGGAACACCGGCGGCGAAGGCGACGCUCUGGCCUGCUUCUGACGCUGAGGUGCGAAAGCCAGGGGAGCAAACGGGAUUAGAAACCCCAGUAGUCC